UAAAUGAAAUAAUUAAAAAAAACUGCAGCAUUUAUUAAGUUUACAAAUAAACAGGUGAUAAGGCAGUCUAAUCUUGACACUUUUAGAUUUCCAAUUAAUCAAAUGAUGCCCAUGUAAAUGGCAGUGUCACCAUGGAAAUAAAUUGUUUUUCUAGGAGGAUUCUUAUGUGCUACCAUUACUUUGGUGGGGGUUACCGGUGACGAUGACAUGCCCCCUGAUGCGACCGUCUUCAUCCAGGUCACCAAUGGUCACAUGUCAUACAGAAGGCAUGAUUGUGAAAACUGAAUGGAUCAUCCCACUCUCUAAAAUUCAAAUAAAUAUGAAUGGCAAAUGGGAGCUGCUAAAUGCCACAUUACAUAAAUGUGGGAUCGGCGUAGUGGAUAAUGCCAAAGGUGUGGUCCUGUCUGUCCACUAUGGUGCCUGUGUGGAGAAGAAGAAUGGAAUGUACUCUGUUGAAUUGGCCGGUGAAGGAGCAACCAAGAUUUCAUGUCCAUCAAUGGCUCAGAGUCUAUCUAAACCAACAAAGUCAUUAGAAUCCCCAAACAUUGGCUUGCAUCCCUCACAGCCAUUCUAUUAUCCACUUUCAAGUCACUACAAACCGGUUCCACACAACCCUGGGCCUGUUGGAAAUCCAAUCCAAAUGGGAUCCUCUCCUGGUCACGCAGAGCAGCCAGUGAACCAUCUCCUUCCUGUACAGCCUGAAAAUAAACCAGACAAGCCCAAACUUGCUCCACAGCCUUUCCAACCACCAACACCUGAAACUCCAUUUUAUCUCUUCCCCUAUCCACUUAACCCUACACCUGGCCCUGUCAUAGACCCUGUACAAAAGCCCACAGUUGCUCCACAUAAAACUGAA